rnacentral:rRNA from 1 species
AUUGAACGCUGGCGGCAGGCCUAACACAUGCAAGUCGAGCGGAUGAAGGGGGCUUGCUCCUGGAUUCAGCGGCGGACGGGUGAGUAAUGCCUAGGAAUCUGCCUGGUAGUGGGGGAUAACGUCCGGAAACGGGCGCUAAUACCGCAUACGUCCUGAGGGAGAAAGUGGGGGAUCUUCGGACCUCACGCUAUCAGAUGAGCCUAGAUCGGAUUAGCUAGUUGGUGGGGUAAAGGCCUACCAAGGCGACGAUCCGUAACUGGUCUGAGAGGAUGAUCAGUCACACUGGAACUGAGACACGGUCCAGACUCCUACGGGAGGCAGCAGUGGGGAAUAUUGGACAAUGGGCGAAAGCCUGAUCCAGCCAUGCCGCGUGUGUGAAGAAGGUCUUCGGAUUGUAAAGCACUUUAAGUUGGGAGGAAGGGCAGUAAGUUAAUACCUUGCUGUUUUGACGUUACCAACAGAAUAAGCACCGGCUAACUUCGUG